AAACCCCCUCGCCGAAAGACUAAGGUUUCCUGAUCAACGCUAAUCGGAUCAGGGUUAGUCGGGUCCUAAGGCUCAGCCGAACGGUGAGGCCGAUGGCAGAACAGGUUAAUAUUCCUGUACUACCUUAAGGAGUGACGUGGAGACGGAGGCGUGACAGCGCCGCGGACUGACGGAAUAGUCCGUUGAAGGGUGUAGAUGUUGAUUAUCCCAGGCAAAUCCGGGAUAAGAGUCGAACCUGAUAGUAUGGAGCGUUCUUCGGAACAAUCCAAUAGUGCGUGUAAUCAUACUCCCAAGAAAAUCCGCUAAACUUAAUCCUUGAGGUACCCGUACCGCAAACGGACACACGUAGUCGGGUUGAAUAUACUAAGGCGCUUGAGUGAUUCACGGUUAAGGAACUAGGCAAAUUGACCCUGUAACUUCGGGAUAAAGGGUCCCAACGAGAGUUGGGCGCAGAGAAUAGGUCCAGGCAACUGUUUAACAAAAACACAGGGCUGUGCCAAAUUGAAAGAUUACGUAUACAGCCUGACACCUGCCCGGUGCUGGAAGGUUAAGAGGAGAUGUCAUCGCAAGAGAAGCAUUGAAUUGAAGCCCCAGUAAACGGCGGCCGUAACUAUAACGGUCCUAAGGUAGCGAAAUUCCUUGUCGGGUAAGUUCCGACCUGCACGAAUGGUGUAAUGAUCUGGACGCUGUCUCAACCGUGAGCUCAGUGAAAUUGUAGUAUCGGUGAAGAUGCCGAUUACCCGCGAUGGGACGAAAAGACCCCGUGAACCUUUACUAUAGCUUAACAUUGAAUUUGGGUAAUUGAUGUGUAGGAUAGGCCGGAGACUUUGAAGCAGGUACGCCAGUAUUUGUGGAGUCGCUGUUGAAAUACGGCCCUUUGAUUAUUUGAGUUCUAACUCGUAGUUGCGAGGACACUGUUUGGUGGGUAGUUUGACUGGGGUGGUCGCCUCCAAAAGUGUAACGGAGGCUUCUAAAGGUGCCCUCAGGACGAUUGGUAACCGUCCGUAGAGUGUAAUGGCAUAAGGGCGCUUGACUGGGAGACAGACAAGUCGAUCAGGUAGGAAACUAGAGCAUAGUGAUCCGGUGUUUCCGUAUGGAAGGGACAUCGCUCAAAGGAUAAAAGGUACUCCGGGGAUAACAGGCUGAUCCCUCCCA
rnacentral:rRNA from 1 species